GCAGGUGCUGUCUAAUGAGGUGUGGAACUAUGGGAGAACUAACUGCAGGUGCUGUCUAAUGAGGUGUGGAACUAUGGGAGAACUAACUGCAGGUGCUGUCUAAUAAGGUGUGGAACUAUGGGAGAACUAACUGCAGGUGCUGUCUAAUGAGGUGUGGAACUAUGGGAGAACUAACUGCAGGUGCUGUC